AUGGAACAGACUGUGUUGAUGAAUUGUUAAUAAGUUUGUCAUUCACAAAAACGGAAAGGAAUUUCCGCUCCGGAUCAAGUGAGUGCAAACAAACAGAAGCUGCUCUGCAGGGGAAGGAAGGAGACGGGCAUUACUUAGAACAGCUUAGUCAUGUAGUCCUAUGGCCCACCAAUGAAGACAGCUGGAGACAAGUGAAGAUCCAAACAAGGCCACAAAGACAAAACACAGAGCAUGUCAGGCUCCUGACACAUGGGUGUUGUCUGAUACUAACCAACUCUGUUAUCACAACAGUGAUGUAAUCUGUGUCAAAGGCAAACAGGGACAAGACAUAUUGAGUACCCACAUAGACAUGUAAGCAAAUAUGUAUUGGACACAAAGUGAUAUGCAGGUUUCCGUGGACACACACAUCCGUUCCUCAGUCAUCACAGAACAAAGAGGAUGGAAGUUUCAGAGACAUUAGCAUGACACAGACAUUUAAUUGUUUUACAUUUUAUAGUAGUGGUUUGAAUUAUAUUUUAUUUUAUAUUUUAUUUUAUUUUAUUGUAUAUUUAAUUAUAUUCUAAUCCCACUUAGUACUGCUAGUUUAUGUACCCUUAGUAUAGAUAGUCCACAUAUUAAAAUUUUAGGUAUAUGUUUAUUGUAUGCACCUUCCUGCCAAAGCAAAUUCCUUGUCUGUGCAAACUUUCAUGGCGAAUAAAUCCCAUUCUGAUUCUGAUUCUGAUUAUUUAGAUACUGUUGUACAUUUUCAAAAUGUUAUAUUUUUCAAAAUUGUAUUACUACUUAUAUGUUUACUGUAUGCACCUUCCUGCCAUAGUAAAUUCCUUGUUUGUGCAACUUACUUGGCGAAUAAAGCUGAUUCUGACA